UGUGGGGACGCAGAAGGAGAGCACUACCUGGAAUGGAAUCCAGGGGCAAGCACAGGAGGGGUACGGCUGAAAAAACCGCCGUGCAACCCAAAGGUGUGACGCAUACCGAACUAAAGUAGGGAAAUGUGUGAGCCGGCUGCCGAGAAAAGCCGCUAUUGUUUGUACUGUACCCGUACCGUAAACCGACACAGGUGGAUGAGGAGAGAAUCCUAAGGCCGACGGAAGAAGCAUUGCUAAGGAACUCGGCAAAAUGACCCUGUAACUUCGGGAGAAAGGGUGCCUCGAAAGAGGCCGCAGAGAAUAGGCCCAAGCAACUGUUUAGCAAAAACACAGGUCUAUGCAAAACCGCAAGGUGAAGUAUAUGGGCUGACGCCUGCCCGGUGCUGGAAGGUUAAGGGGAGAUGUCAGGAGACGAAGCAUCGAACUUAAGCCCCAGUAAACGGCGGCCGUAACAAUAACGGUCCUAAGGUAGCGAAAUUCCUUGUCGGGUAAGUUCCGACCCGCACGAAAGGCGUAAUGAUUUGGGCGCUGUCUCGGCAAUGCAUCCGGUGAAAUUGAAGUGCCAGUGAAGAUGCUGGCUACCCGCGCCAGGACGGAAAGACCCCAUGGAGCUUUACUCCAGCUUGAUACUGGGAUUCGGUAUUGUAUGUACAGGAUAGGUGGGAGGCUGAGAAAUGGUGACGCCAGUCGCCAUGGAGCCGCUGUUGGGAUACCACCCUUGCAGUACUGGAUUUCUAACCAGCAGCCGUGAUCCGGCUGGGGGACAAUGUCAGGUGGGGAGUUUGACUGGGGCGGUCGCCUCCGAAAGGGUAUCGGAGGCGCUCAAAGGUUCCCCCAGAAUGGUCGGAAACCAUUCGAAGAGUGCAAAGGCAGAAGGGAGCUUGACUGCGACACCGACGGGUGGGGCAGGUACGAAAGUAGGACUUAGUGAUCCGGUGGUAUUAAGUGGGAAUGCCAUCGCUCAACGGAUAAAAGCUACCCUGGGAUAACAGGCUUAUCACUCCCAAGAGUUCACAUCGACGGAGUGGUUUGGCACCUCGAUGUCGGCUCAUCGCAUCCUGGGGCUGUAGUAGGUCCCAAGGGUUGGGCUGUUCGCCCAUUAAAGCGGUACGCGAGCUGGGUUCAGAACGUCGUGAGACAGUUCGGUCCCUAUCCGGCGUGGGCGUAGGAUAUUUGAGAGGAGCUGACCUUAGUACGAGAGGACCGGGUUGGACUGACCUCUGGUGCACCGGUUGUCAUGCCAAUGGCACAGCCGGGUAGCCAAGUCGGGAAGGGAUAAACGCUGAAGGCAUCUAAGCGUGAAGCCCCCCUCAAGAUGAGAUAUCCCCCGCAUAAGCGGUAAGACCCCUUGAAGACGACGAGGUAGAUAGGGCAGAGGUGGAAGUGCAGUAAUGUAUGGAGCUGACUGCUACUAAUAGGUCGAAGGCUUAACGA
rnacentral:rRNA from 1 species